GAUGAACGCUAGCGGAAGGCAUAAUACAUGCAAGUCGAACGGAUGUAGCAAUACAUUAGUGGCGCACGGGUGCGUAACGCGUAUGCAACCUACCUUCAUCAGGGGGAUAACUACUCGAAAGGGUGGCUAACACCGCAUAAUACUACUGAAUGGCAUCAUUUGGUAUUUAAAUCUGAGGAGGAUGAAGAUGGGCAUGCGUCUGAUUAGCUAGUGGGUGUGGUAACGGCGCACCAAGGCGGAGAUCAGUAGGGGAACUGAGAGGUUGGUCCCCCACAAUGGAACUGAGAUACGGGCCAGACUCCAGCGGGAGGCAGCAGUAGGGAAUAUUGGUCAAUGGUGGGAACACUGAACCAGCCAUUCCGCGUUCAGGAAGAAGGGUCUCUGACUUGUAAACUGCUUUAGCAAGGGAAGAAAAAGCUCAUGCGUGAGAAAUUGACGGUACCUUGAGAAUAAGCACCGGCUAACUACGUGCCAGCCGCCGCGGUAAUAC
rnacentral:rRNA from 1 species